ACGGGGGGGGCAAGCGUUGUUCGGAAUUACUGGGCGUAAAGCGUGCGUAGGUGGUUCGUUAAGUCUGUCGUGAAAGCCCCGGGCUCAACCUGGGAAUGGCGAUGGAUACUGGCGGGCUAGAGUGCGGUAGAGGAGAGUGGAAUUCCCGGUGUAGCAGUGAAAUGCGUAGAGAUCGGGAGGAACAUCAGUUGCGAAGGCGGCUCUCUGGACCAGCACUGACACUGAGGCACGAAAGCGUGGGGAGCAAACAGGA
rnacentral:rRNA from 1 species